AUUUUUCCCAAGGUUAAAGGCGUUUAAUUUGCAAGUAUUUCUACACAGUUUUUAUUCUGAAAUGUGCUUUUCUAUCCUCCUCUAUCCCUGCUUGGUAAUAAAGCCUUAAGAUCUUCUGAAUCAGAGACAGAUACUGAAAAACAAAAGCGUAAGGUUGUAAUUUCUAUUGUUCAUCUUAUUCAUUUGGAUGGCAUUGCAGCUUUCUUACAGGUUAAUUUUACAUCUUUCCCAAGGUUAAUGUCUCAUAUGCAAUUGUAAGCAUUUUUAAGGUAAUGUGGCUUUAGCAUAUCCUCAAAAUCUCCAUCCCAGAUUCUAGUCUUUUAGUGAUGUAUUUCCAAGGAUCUGAUCUGGAAUAUCAGUCUCAAAGAGAUGGUGAUAAAACCGGAAGCUUCCUGUUUUUCUGACAUUGCUUGUAUACCAACAACUAGAAACAGGAUUUUUUUUUCAUUACUUACAUAAUAGAACCUUUGAAUUUCAGUGAGUAACUGAGGGUUUUUCUUCAGGCAUGGAUUGGUUCCAUGCUGUCAGAGAUGUGUGGCAGAACUAACUGCAGAUAUCUUUGAAUGACUUCCUGCUUCCACAGCAUCCUUGCAAAUCAUGACAGAGUCCUUGGGUUAUCAUCACUGCCAAAGCCACCAUAGUUGAGCUUCCAUUUAAUAGCUGAUCUCUCUGUCCAUACUUUCAAACAGUUUUGAAAAUUUUGGACAGGAGUGACUUAUUUCCCUUCCAAUCUCAUCUCUCCAUUUUCAUUAUAGCUUUGGUGAUGGAUUACACCCAUUUUUUCCUGAUCUGGAAUUACAAUUACAAAUGCCUGUCAUUGUGACACUAUGACCAGCAGCUCUUAGCUUUUUGUUGGCUUCCUGCCAUCCCUGCCAUGUGUUUUCCUGCUGCUUUCCAGGAAUUCGUUUUCAUAAGACAUCUGCAGGCAAACCUUUCCUGGGACUUCUAAUCCAUUGGGCUUCAGUAAUGGCCUCUUAUUUCAAGGAAAGAGGAUUUACAGAAACUACUUGAAAUAUCCAAAAUCAGUGCAAGAUGAUGAUACUUACUUUUAAAACAGAGUGUCCUAAAGCCUUUAUUUUUGCAUUCAUG